rnacentral:rRNA from 1 species
GGAUUAGAUACCCUGGUAGUCCACGCCGUAAACGAUGUCUACUUGCAGCUCGGUUCGUAAGAACGGUUUUGCGAAGCUAACGCGUUAAGUAGACCGCCUGGGGAGUACGGUCGCAAGAUUAAAACUCAAAUGAAUUGACGGGGGCCCGCACAAGCGGUGGAGCAUGUGGUUUAAUUCGAUGCAACGCGAAGAACCUUACCAUCCCUUGACAUCCAGAGAACUUACUAGAGAUAGUUUGGUGCCUUCGGGAACUCUGAGACAGGUGCUGCAUGGCUGUCGUCAGCUCGUGUCG